rnacentral:rRNA from 1 species
AUUGAACGCUGGCGGCAGGCCUAACACAUGCAAGUCGAGCGGAUGACGGGAGCUUGCUCCUUGAUUCAGCGGCGGACGGGUGAGUAAUGCCUAGGGAUCUGCCUGGUAGUGGGGGACAACGUUUCGAAAGGAACGCUAAUACCGCAUACGUCCUACGGGAGAAAGCAGGGGACCUCCGGGCCUUGCGCUAUCAGAUGAGCCUAGGUCGGAUUAGCUAGUUGGUGGGGUAAUGGCUCACCAAGGCGACGAUCCGUAACUGGUCUGAGAGGAUGAUCAGUCACACUGGAACUGAGACACGGUCCAGACUCCUACGGAAGGCAGCAGUGGGGAAUAUUGGACAAUGGGCGAAAGCCUGAUCCAGCCAUGCCGCGUGUGUGAAGAAGGUCUUCGGAUUGUAAAGCACUUUAAGUUGGGAGGAAGGGCAGUAAGCUAAUACCUUGCUGUUUUGACGUUACCGACAGAAUAAGCACCGGCUAACUCUGUGCCAGCCGCCGCCGUAA